CUUGAGAAAUAAAAAUUUUAAUAUUUUUUUCAAAAUCUAAAUAUCCGAACCCGAUCCGAAAUAACCGAAUCCGAUCUAAAAAUACCCGAACCCGACCCGAAGUACAGAAAUACCCGAACGGGUUCUAGACCUCUAUACCGAAAUACCCGAAAAUCCGAAAUAUCCGACCCGAAUCCGAACGGGUACCCGAACGCCCACCCCUAGUUUGUUAUAUCACAGAAAUAACUUAACAGAAUCAUGUUCAUAGACGCACAUAUAUACAUAUAAAGGUUAUGUAGCUCUAGUGGUAUUCUCAUUAUGGAAGAUAUACUCGAGUAGCCAAUGAAAGAUCGACUGGUGCCAAAUCACUUAUACAACUUAUUAGAAUAAUUCUGUCAAGAAUAGAUAUCGCAUUUGACUCGAAAGUAGUGAAUCAAGAUAUGAUCAUGAUCUAAAUUUCUCUUUAUUGAUAAUUGUAUCAACUAUCUACUGGGCGUGUAGCCAUUUAUGAAUUCAUAUUAGGCUUAAGCAUAUUAAACCGAAAGAGUACACGCUAAUUAAUUAUUAAAAUUUAUAUACUUUGAGGCACACGUUAAAAAUAUAUACGUAUAUCAUUAACGCCUCAAUUAUGAGAUGUCGUAUACCGUAAGUAAGCAAAGAGAAUACGAACUCCUAGUUGCCAAUUCGAAUAAUUGGUAAAAAGUCGAAACUUUUUAAUAUUCGUGUUUAUGUAUAUUUAGUAUGUUGAAAAAAACAAUAUAUACUUAAUUAGAACAUAGGUUCGACAAAUAAAAAACGUGCUCAUCAAUGUUAGAUAAAAAUUAAAAAUAAUACUAAGAAUAAAAUAUAUACUACGCGUUUGAAUGAUAACCUGAGUAACCUCUUUGACGUAAUCCGUUGAUUAGUGAUUUGAAAACAAGGUAUAUUGUGGACAUAUUAGUUUCACUAGGCCUUUUCCAUGGUUUUUAGCAAGUUUUCAUGGUUCUUAGUUUUACUUGAAAGUGUUUUUCGUUUUUAGAAUUUUAAUGUUUUAAUCAUCUAAACUAUUAAGGCAGAAGUACAAAUAAUACUUACUCCUUAAAGUUGCACAAAAAUUACAUUCUAAUGCCACUGGAAUUAAAACACAGUAGUUUUAUCUCCUUACUAAACGUGAUUAAACCUACGACAUUGCCCCACAUAAUAACGGCGGCUUUCGUCGAGCUCUCCUCAGCUAUAACACCAGCCUAUAUGAUCCCUGGUGAUCCAAAGCAGCUGGAGAUCCUUACUGUACUUUCUUCGUGGGUCGAAUCUCCUCUCAUCUUACGUCGGAGGAGACUCUUCGUGAGGUAAGAGUAUGUGUUUUAUACGUGGAAUUACACUUUUGUUGUAGGAGUGAGGAUAAAGGCUCUUCUUUACAGGCUAUGCAUAAAUACGAUAAAGUUAAGAGCUUUCUGCUGGUUAAACACAUUGGUAAAGGCUUUGCAAUUGCUCUGCUUUAUGAUCUUACUUCUGUUGGUUUGUACACAUAUUGUCUUAGCAUAACUGUGUUGAUUAUACAUUAUGUUGUUACAUUUCGAUUAGUGAGGGUGCUUCACGAGGAUAUGCUUUUGUGGAGUAUGAGCCUGAGAAGGAGAUGUGUCGUGCUUACGAGGUACUAGGUGAUGCUUACUUUUUUUUUGUUCUUUAAAGCUGUUUGAAAUGUACAUUUUCUGUAUCAACAGUGGAGUUUAGUUGUCGGAAAGAAAUGUUCUUUUGUGAUGGUUUCUUGUAGGAUGCUCAUCAUUCAUUUAUUGAUAGUCGAGAGAUUAUUGUUGAUUAUAAGAGGCAACAAUUGAUGCCUUGAUGGAUGAUCAGGUGAGUGCCAUUCUCUUACUAUCCCCUAAGAGUUAGGUCUUCAUCAUCCCUUAGAUUAAUCUUUGUUAUUCUUCUCUGGAAAAGGAGAUGGACUUGGUGGUAGGAAAGAAUCUGGACAACUUCGUUUUAGAGGAUGAGAAAGACCUUUUUGUGCUCCCUUUGCUCUCCUUCUUUUAGCAUGUUCCAAACAACUAUAACCAGCAGAGAGUAUCCAGCUUCCACCAGAGGGAAUAUUAUAUCACGGACUUAUUGGAGAAAACAAGUAACUAUGCCGGCUAAGCAUAGACUUUGACCCAUGGGUAUACCUUCCUAAUAUAUAUGAACCACAUAUAUAUUUUUGUAAACGUGAGGAAGCUCUAAAACAUUCAAUCUUGGAGAAAACAAGUAACUUUGACGGGUUUGUUAUAAAGCUUGCUCCUUUAUAUGAUCUUGACCAAGCUCUAAGCCUGGCUCAAGUAGCCGUAUGUGAUCUUCAAAGUUCUAGAGCAGACGGUAAUUGUAUUGCUUGUGGACUGUGGUACAAGUUAAAAAAAAAAACACAUGAUGGACUCUGAGUCAUUCUUUUCCAAAUAGCCACUGUGUUUUUGUUCUUUACAAAACUAUACUGAAGUUUUUUUCUCAAAAAUUGUGGUACAAUUGUUUUUUUUCGGUUACUUGCUUUCAUUAUUUUUUAUGUUUCUGUCUAAAUAAUUUAUUUGUUUUAAAAAAUCAAUAUAAAAUUUGAACUUAUAUUUAACUAUAAAUCCCAAUGUUAAUAGUAUAAUUUCGUAAAACUAUAAAAAACGUUAAUAUCUUACAAUUUAAUUUUUAUUUUACCAAAAUCGACAUAAUCUCAUAGUUCAUAAAUAGAUGCAAAACACAUUGAACAUAACACAUCAUUGACAAAACUUAUGAAUUUAUAACAAGAAAAUAAAAAUAAUUGUUUAUGACAUUGUUAAAAGUUAAAAACAUGAAUAAACCCGUGCGGGUGCACGGGUCAAAGGCUAGUGUUAUGUUUAUAACUUACACUUUACUUGUUAAUUCAUAUUUAUAUAGUUUCAAAACGACCAUCCUAACCGAAGUUUGUUUUGUUAGCUUCUGUUUGUCUUGCUCAACUUGUAACAUAGUUCUAAAUUUCUAAUGCACAAAAUGUUAAAAACAUGCCUGAUCCCAGCAAACAAAACACGAAUCGGUUUGCUUCAAGCAACGAGAUGAAUCAAAGUAGCCUUACACAUACGAGGUUAAUCCCACAAACAAAACAGAUCAAGCUAAGCCAAUCAUGCAUUGCAAAAAACAACCAGACAGCACUUACAGUGCUCAUACCGAAAAAAAUAAAUAAAGUGAACCUAACAAAUCCGAAGUUGCUCUAGAAAGUCUUCUACUACAUAAUCCUGAUUGGCAGAAACAAAGAACAGAUUCGGCACAAGAAGAGUCUCUUUGCAGGUCUGUAGAUGUCUCUCUCAUUUAAUCUUCUUAAUGAUGUCCUCGAUGACUUCUUCCAUAUCAAGAGCCUUCAUUGGUGCAAAUGGACGUUUCAUCUCC